rnacentral:rRNA from 1 species
AUACGUAGGGUGCAAGCGUUAAUCGGAAUUACUGGGCGUAAAGCGUGCGCAGGCGGUUCGGAAAGAAGGAUGUGAAAUCCCAGGGCUCAACCUUGGAACUGCAUUCUUAACUACCGAACUAGAGUAUGUCAGAGGGGGGUAGAAUUCCGCGUGUAGCAGUGAAAUGCGUAGAUAUGCGGAGGAAUACCGAUGGCGAAGGCAGCCCCCUGGGAUAAUACUGACGCUCAUGCACGAAAGCGUGGGUAGCAAACAGGAUUAGAUACCCUGGUAGUCCACGCCCUAAACGAUGUCAACUAGCUGUUGGGCCCUUCGGGGCUUAGUAGCGAAGCUAACGCGUGAAGUUGACCGCCUGGGGAGUACGGCCGCAAGGUUGAAACUCAAAGGAAUUGGCGGGG